AGCCAGCUAGAAGUAUCAAGCGGUGGAGGAGGAAGGUGGUGAGAGAACGCGAAGAAGGCAAGGGUGAAACACGUUGAAGAAACGAGAGUCGACUUUCACGGCGGUGUGUCUCGAAGGCAGAGCGGGGUCUCUGCUUCCGACUGCAGAUACAUUGCGACAUGGAACUAGGGGUUAGUGUAGGGGGGUUUCGUGGCGGCGCGAGAGGGGUGAAGGGACCGGCGACGAGGGUGGUGGGUCGCUCGGGGCUCGAAAGGGGGAUGAAAUGCGCCGCGACGCGCUGCGGCGAAGCCAGACGGAGACGGACUCAGUUUCUGCUCCGCAUCCGCAGCAUCCUCCCUCUCUGUUCCCCUCUCUUUCCCAACUUCCCUUCUUCGCAUCCUCUUCCUUCAUUCUUUCUCUCCCUUCCCCACCCGAAACGACUUUUACUCCGGUUCCUCCUCCUCCUCCUCCUCCUCCUCCCUCCUCCCUCCUCCCUUCUUCCUUCUCUUCUUCCGGCUCUGGCGUGUUUCCCUUUUCCACGCGCCCGGUGUUUCGCUCUCUUUCCCUCCCUCUGUUUCCGUCUCUCUCUGUUUCACCCCCCGCGACUCAAACCACCGCGGUCCAGUCGAGUGUCGGCUCGUAUACCGAACGGUUCACCUCGUGGCUCGUUCGUUUCGCAGCUGCGUGACGUUUAAAUAAAACGUUCGUUCGGCUGUUAAGGAUCCAUUGCCUGCCGGCUUCCUCCACGUCAAACGCGUUGUUCGAGAUCGAAAGGAUCGACGGGGAUGACGAGGAGGUUCUAUCCGACUGGUUGGUGGCAGGCAACGCGACCAGUGUAAAAGCCAGCGACCGGGAUCCACGUGGUGUUGACGUGAAAGAAGGUGAAAUCGCAGUGAUAGAAGGAAAACCAGAAAAGGAAGAAGUCAGUUAUUUUGGUGCUAAUUAAGUGACGACGUUCAUACGUACACGUGUACAUAUACAACAAUCAGCAAUAGUGUCUAAUUGGCACGGAAACAACACAAUCAUUCUUAAUUAGUUAAUUUGCGAAGAGGCUCAACAUAGAAUGCAUCGCAACACGCUCGAUUAUUACAGGAUGCAGUUACUUCUGAUCAUCUCGGGAUAAUCAUCCUGUCAUUUGGCUAUUCCCCGAAAUCGGGCCAAAUCUGGUGAACGAAGGAUUACAAUACCGCCUUAACGAUAAUUCGAACAACUUUUCUUCUCUUCUAUGACAAGUUCCUACAGUACGUGACCAAAUUUGCGACUAUGACUAGCGGACAAAGGAAUAAGUCCGUAGUACAUCCGGAACAGCGGUAUGCGUACAUGCCCUGUCCGCUUUACGACACUGAACUUCAGCGAGAAGGGAUU